UAAUAAGUGAUUUAUGGCACUUUUUAAAUCCAUAUCCACCUUGUGUGCAAUGUCAGUCGUUCUCUCUUUUGAGGAUGACCAAACAUCAACUUAUUCUUUAACUCUUUGUCAGAAAAAUAUUAUGAAUAAAAUAAUUCAAAAUA
rnacentral:misc_RNA from 1 species